AUUUAGUUGGAUAUAUACACUUAUUGAUAGUUGUUUGGUUCAUCCGACUAAAAAUGGCACAUUUGGGUAUAAUAUAAAAUAUUGUUUAAUGUAGAAAAUUGUGAAAAACCUUAUUUAAAAUUUUUACCUUAUCUUUCUUAAAUGGUUUUAGAGAAAAGCUAUAGAGAAGGGCAAAUGUGCCAUUUUGGAUGUUAAACAAGGAUUAGUAACCCAUCAUAAUGCGGGAUAAAAAUAAUAUACCACACA
rnacentral:lncRNA from 1 species